rnacentral:lncRNA from 1 species
AGAGGAAGAGACAGAAGGUGAGAACAGUUUUUCCGGAGUCAUACAACUAGUAAAAUUUGGCACUAGGAUCUAACCCAGGUCUGCUGAAUUGUUUGUGAUGUUGUCAGAAAAUACAUAGAUCAAAUAAAAAGGCAAGAAGAGCAAGAGAGUAGAGAGAUGGUUAUAAGACACCGAACAGUUUGCAAGCCCAUGAUUCCACUGUGCGUCUAGCCUUAUUCAAAAACAAUGAAAAUAAAGUGUCUCUUCCAAAAUCACCAAAGAUGGUACAGCCCAGAAGAGAUGGUUACUUUGAAGGUAUAGAAGAAGACCCUAUCCACAAAGAUACCACUGCAAAUGAAAAAUUAGAACGGAAUAGAGAAUAUACAUACCAAUGGCUUCACACACAGGUUGGGGUUCAUGAAACGACUAGUUCCAGAAAUAUGAAAUGCAAUCACUUUUUGCCUGAGUUAGAUCCAGAUGUACUUAAUGGUGGAAGAGUUCAGCUUGUGGUAAGAAAUGUGCUUAAAGUUACAGAAAAAUGUUGUAGACACUAGUGCUCAAAUAAAUGGCACUUUAAGAUAUGUUUAUAAUUAAACUAUGAAAAUAUCACAACUGUAUCUAUUUGGGAUAAUAUCAAAAUAUCAUGUGUUAAAAUAAUAACAUGUUUUCUUGACUUGUAAUACAAUUUAAAAUGUGACAUUGCUUAAAAAUGUUAAUUUUAUGUGACAGAUGUAAAAAUAUUAGCAUCCUACAACUUUAAAAUAAAAUUACUGUGGA